rnacentral:rRNA from 1 species
UACGAAGGUGGCAAGCGUUGUUCGGAUUUACUGGGCGUAAAGGGAGCGUAGGUGGUUAGGUAAGCCCUCCGGGAAAUCUUCAGGCUCAACCUGAAAAGGUCGGGGGGGGGACUGCCUAGCUAGAGGGCGGGAGAGGAGCGCGGAAUUCCCGGUGUAGCGGUGAAAUGCGUAGAGAUCGGGAGGAAGGCCGGUGGCGAAGGCGGCGCUCUGGAACGUUUCUGACACUGAGGCUCGAAAGCGUGGGGAGCAAACAGGG